UACGUAGGGGACGAGCGUUGUCCGGAGUUACUGGGCGUAAAGCGCUUGUAGGCGGUCCACCAAGUUUGGGGUGACAGUUGCCGACUUAAUCGGCAAAGUGCCUCAAAGACUGGCGGACUUGAGGGCCACAGAGGGACAUGGAACUCCAGGUGUAGUGGUGAGAUGCGUAGAGAUCAGGAGGAACACCGGUGGCGAAGGCGGCCUACUGGGCCAGCACUGACGCUGAGGCGCGAAAGCUCGGGGAGCGAACGGG
rnacentral:rRNA from 1 species